AGAGUUUGAUCCUGGCUCAGAACGAACGCUGGCGGCGUGCCUAACACAUGCAAGUCGAACGGAGUGAAGGAGCUUGCUCUUUCAUUUAGUGGCGCACGGGUGAGUAACGCGUAGAUAAUCUGCCUUGGACUCUGGGAUAACAUCUCGAAAGGGGUGCUAAUACCGGAUAAGCCCACGAUGGCGUAAGUCAUUGCGGGAAAAGGGGGCCUCUGAAUAUGCUCCUGAUUCAAGAUGAGUCUGCGUACCAUUAGCUAGUUGGUAGGGUAAGAGCCUACCAAGGCGACGAUGGUUAGCUGGUCUGGGAGGAUGAUCAGCCACACUGGAACUGAGACACGGUCCAGACUCCUACGGGAGGCAGCAGUGGGGAAUUUUGCGCAAUGGGGGAAACCCUGACGCAGCAACGCCGCGUGAGUGAUGAAGGCUUUCGGG
rnacentral:rRNA from 1 species